UACAGAGGUCUCAAGCGUUUGUUCGGAUUCAUUGGGCGUAAAGGGUGCGUAGGUGGCGCCGUAAGUCGGGUGUGAAAUUUCGGAGCUUAACUCCGAAACUGCAUUCGAUACUGCGGUGCUUGAGGACUGGAGAGGAGACUGGAAUUCAUGGUGUAGCAGUGAAAUGCGUAGAGAUCAUGAGGAAGACCAGUGGCGAAGGCGAGUCCCUGGACAACUCCUGACACUGAGGCACGAAAGCUAGGGGAGCAAACAGG
rnacentral:rRNA from 1 species